UGGGGAAUAUUGGACAAUGGGCGAAAGCCUGAUCCAGCAAUGCCGCGUGAGUGAUGAAGGCCUUAGGGUUGUAAAGCUCUUUUACCCGGGAAGAUAAUGACUGUACCGGGAGAAUAAGCUCCGGCUAACUCCGUG
rnacentral:rRNA from 5 species